CUGCUGCUGCUACCAUAGUAGAUGGUGCUUUGCGUAUGGCUGAGAGCAGUUUCCAGCAUAGGCUAAGUACGGUUCAAAGUUAUGAAUUAUUUUCAUCUGAUUUUCAAUCGCUGCAGUCCAAAAGAUGGUUGAACGAUAAAAUAGUAAAUGCUUUGCACAUAGUAUUCCAGCAAGAGGCAAACUUGAUGGUACGCGAGAAAAUUUUGUCAAACUAUGUGCGUUUCAUUUCUUUUUUAUUAUACAAUUCCAAUAGAGUAUUGUCAAUGAAUUCCUACCUUGUUCCAAGUUAUGGAAAACGAGGAUACGACGGCAUAUGGAGGGCUACUAUGGAGGUUAAUAAAAUGACAUUCCUUGUUAAAAUGUAGAAUUCAUGCAGUAAAGCUUUGUAUAGGUCAACGUCUUUGAAUACGAACUAAUUGCUAUACCUGUCCAUAGAAAGAAUCACUGGAUAGAAGUGGU